rnacentral:rRNA from 1 species
UACGAAGGGGGCUAGCGUUGCUCGGAAUCACUGGGCGUAAAGCGCACGUAGGCGGCUUCUUAAGUCAGGGGUGAAAUCCUGGAGCUCAACUCCAGAACUGCCUUUGAUACUGGGAAGCUUGAGUUCGGGAGAGGUGAGUAGAACUGCGAGUGUAGAGGUGAAAUUCGUAGAUAUUCGCAAGAACACCAGUGGCGAAGGCGGCUCACUGGCCCGAUACUGACGCUGAGGUGCGAAAGCGUGGGGAGCAAACGGG